UGGGGUGUGGCUCAGUGGUAGAGCACUCGCCUGGCAUGUGCGAGGCCCUGGGUUUGAUCCUCAGCACCGCAU